GAAAAUAAAAAACAGAAAAAACGAAAAAUGGAAAACGACAUGAUGAUAGUCAAGAAAGAUGGUGUUACUACUGUCGCUUCAACCACAGCAAAUGAUAUAAAUGGAUCUACUACAUUAAAUAAUAAAAAAAUACGUAACGAAAAAAAUUAUGAAAACGUUCAAACGGAUGAUAAUGGUAAUGGUAAUGGUAACACUACUACGCACGAGUAUGACAAUACACAUGAACAUAAUAACAAUAUUAUUACAAAUUAUAAUUCGGACUAUUCUAUUUAUGACUGUCAAACAAUAUAUUAUGAGCAUAUAAACACUGAAUAUUGUAAUAAAUCUGUUAUGAAAAUUGGUACAAUUAAUAAUAAAAAUAGUAAUGACAAUAAUACUACUGGUAUAGGUGGUAGUGGAUGUGUUUCAAAAGAGGGGGCGGGGGGGGGGAGUGACCAUGUCUAUUCAUAGUAGUAUAAAUAAUGAUAGUGGUUAUGAAUUGAAUACGGAUUUACAUUCGACUGUUAUGGGAAAUGUACAUACAGGAAUAGAGACAAACAAACACACGAAAGAAACUUACAGCGAAGAAGAAAUAGAAAAAAUAAAUAAAAACAGAAUCGAUUUUAUGAAAAAAUAUUUGUUUUUUAUUCAAUUAAUUUUUUAUGGUAUAAAAAAACAAAAUCCGUUAAUACUAUUUGCUUAUAUUCAUCAUGAAAUUAUGAACACUUAUAAAGCAAAUUUGUUAUAUUAUUACAAAAAAAUAGAAUUAUUAUUAAAUCAAGACCUAAGCAAUUGCUUACCUAAUGUAAACAUAAAUUUAAAUGAUUUAUAUACACUUAAUUUUAGUUUUGAAUCUUUUAUUCAAGAAAAUAGUCAUUUUUUCAAUACCCAUGAAUAUAUUUUUCAAUCAUACAAAAAUAUAGCAAGUCAUUAUACAAACUUAGAUUCGGAAGCCAUUUAUAAUAAUAUUGACUUAAGUAUUGAUAGUGUUAUAAAAAAAAUAAAUGAAUUUUUAAAAUCGUUAAAAGUUAUAAAUAAAAAAGAAAUAUCAUUUGACAAUGCAAAAUAUGAGAACCUUAAAGAAACAAUAUAUGAAUAUAUCGAACAAUUGGAAAAUAAAAAAUUGUUAAACCACAUCCAAACGGUUGACCCUAUUUCAGAUUACAAUUUUUUAUGUAUGAUGUAUAGGGUGCCUAAAAUGGUGGACUCUGGUCAGGUCCCUGUCCCCGUCUCUGGUAAUGGUAAUGGUAAUGCAGUCGAAACUAAUGCGAUUACUACCAACGCAACUACCACCAACGCAAUUACUACCAACGCAACUACCACCAACGAAAUCGAUACUAACGUAGGUCAUACCAACGCAACUACCACCAACGCAACUACCACCAACGAAAUCGAUACUAACGUAGGUCAUACCAACGCAACUACUACCAACACAAUUACUACCAACGCAACUACCACCAACGCAAUCGAUACUAACGUAGGUCAUACCAAUCAAGGAAGUGAUAACGCAGUUGAUGCCAACCUAGACCAUACUAACAAAUACAACUGGAACCAACAGAAACAACCAGAAAGUCACAUGUAUGAGCAAAAUGAAGAAAAGUAUAAAACAUCAAUAGAAAAUGACUACAAUUCGUAUGACCAAGUUUAUAAUUUAGAACAUAAACAGUCUAACGAAAAAGACAUGAUGCAUACAAAGGGGGAAACAAAAAUAUGUGAAAAAAGAUGUUACUUUGAAGAUGAAAUAAAAAGAACUAGAAAAAAGAAAAACAUUUUAAGCAAAAACAUGUACGAUGGUAGUGAUUAUUAUGAUGCGUCUUCCGUACCAACUGAUGAAGUAGACAGUAACGAAGAAAAAAAAAAAAAAAAAAAAGAGAAUGUUACUCAUAUUAGUAAUCAUAUAUUUUUAAGAAAUCAAACAAUAGAAAAUAUAGACAUGCAGGCAUUAAAAAAUAAAUAUCAUUCUGUUUAUAAUGUUUCUUCUGUUUUGGAUGAUAAUAAAAAAAAUAAUUUAUUAAACUUAAAAAUGGAAAACAAACAAAGAGUUCUUAGUUUUCAUGGUGGAACAAGAAAAGGAAAAAAUGAUGAUAAUUUAUUAUAUAUGAAUACACAAAUCAAUAAAAAUAAAAUGAAUGACAUAGAUGAACAAAAUAAAUAUUUAAAAGGUUUUAAUUAUAUACAAGAUGGUAGUAAUAUAGAUCAUAUGGGUAACAGAAGUAGUAUUAGUAACAAUACUAAUACUAAUACUAAUACUACUACUAUAGACCAUGUUAAUAAUAAACAAUAUGCAACAUAUCGUGAAGAUAAUACUGUAAAACAAAAGCGUGUAACAAAUACAACACAAUUAUAUGACCAAAUUAAAAAUAAAUAUAAAAACGAUUUGCGAUAUCAAAGUGUAUUCCAAUAUAAAAAUGAAACAGAUAAAAACAAAAAUGACAAUUUUCCAGAUAGCGUCACUACUAAUGAUGAAUAUAUAACAGAAAGAAGUUGUAUAAACGAAGCAAACCCCACGAAUGGUAAUAAUAAUGACAAUAAUAAUAAUAAUAAUAAUAAUAACAAUAAUAAUAAUAAUUAUAAUAAUAAUUAUAAUAAUAAUAAUAAUAAUAAUAAACAAAGUUACUACCAGCAUUACUCUGAUGGUAAUAAAAAAAUUGAAAGUGCUAAUGAAAAUAUAUCAUCAGGGGUAGCAGUACAACGUAGUCUUGAACCAAACAUCGGGUACUGCAACACUAAUACGACGCAUAGAACAGAAGCAAAUAACAAAACAAUGACGUUAACAAAUAAAAAUUAUAUAACACCAACAAUAAAUGUGAACGAAGUAAGAACAGAAAAAGGGAAUGCAUUAAAAAAAUAUACACUACCACAAGUGCAAGGCAAUGAACAGACUAAUAUUAAUGUAAACUAUAAACAAAAAAGAGAAAAGUCAACUGACAAUGCCUUAGGAACAGCUUAUAAUGGUGCAAGCGGUAGUAGUGGUAAUAAUAAGGGUAUCAUCGAUAAUAGAAGUAACAGUAACAUUUCUGGAGCAGACAAGAAUUUAACAAACACAAACACAAACACAAACACAAACACAAACACAAACACCGCACCAAAACCGUACUUAAAAAACAAACCGCUUAUUAAGCAGUUAAUAAAUAAAUUCGAAACAAAUAAAGAUGUACGCAAUAACAGUACUAGCAACACUAACACAAAUAGCAAUAGCAAUACGAAUAAAUGCAAUAAUGAUGUACCUAGUUUGAACACCCACCACCAAAAUAAUAUACCUAGUUUGAAAAAAAAAACAUUUAAUACUAGUAGUAGUAGUAGUAGUAUGAAUACUAAUAAUAAUGUCUUACAAAGCAUGAGUAGCAACAGUACUAAUACCACGCUCGAUUCGAACAAAGCAAUAGCACAUAGUGUACCUAAAAUGAACCUUAGAUUACCAUCACAAAAUCAACUAGAUGUAAAAAAAAAAAAUUAUUUAUAUGAAAGAAACGCAAGCUCAACAAUUCAUGACUUAAAAAAAACAAACAUAAACGAAAGACAAAACAAAAACAUCGACUCUUCUUCAAGUAAUAAUCUUUCCAAACAUUCCUCGGCCAAAAGAAAUAUAGCAAAUAAUUUCUUGUACAAUAAAAAUGAAA
ensembl:lncRNA